rnacentral:ncRNA from 1 species
ACAGUACAAACUGAUCAGGCCAUAUCUUAUGUUUGGAGCCGGGCUGUAAAGCAGCAGCGGGUUGUGAAAACACCUGCGGGACAGUA